rnacentral:misc_RNA from 1 species
AAAUAAGAUGAAUUAAUUCUUGAUUCAGCCUAUUAACUUCCCUUUUCCACCAGUUAUGAGUCACCUGUUGAGCUUCCAAAAGUCUCAAAAGUUCUAGGGAUUGGCCCUGAAUGAGAGAAUUUUUUUUUUUUACCAGCUUUGUUAUUCAAAUUGAACAAUAAACAUCUGCUGUCCUCUUUACUGUGACAGGAAUAGGCAUAGUGAAG